rnacentral:piRNA from 1 species
AUCUGAGAGCUGACACACCCAAC